rnacentral:lncRNA from 1 species
ACACGGUGACGCAAGGGCCGGAAGGAGGGACCCUGUGUCUGGAGAAGCGGGAGAUGGGGGCCUGGACCCCUGGGUCUGAGGGAGGAGGGGCUGGGGUCGUGAUUCCCGUGUUUGGGAGAAAAGGGGGUUGGGAGCUGGGACUCCUGGGGCCGAGGGAGGCCUUUGGGGCUCCCACUCAGUUUUGACGGUCUAAGGCCUGGGGGCCUGGAUUCUUGGUAGGGUUGGAGAUCUCAGGAGUGUCUUUCCACUGAUAGGAUUAUACAUUCUUUCCACUUAUAUGAUUAUUUUGAAAAUUAAAAAAUGAAACUUCUCUACUCCAAACUCACUUUCUAGGAGUUUCACUGUCAACAAUUUGGUGUGGACUUUAUGUUUUCUUUUUUCAGAUGGAGUCUUGCUCUGUCGCCCAGGCUGGAGUCCAGUGGUGUGAUCUCAGCUCACUUCAUCCUCCGCUUCCCGAGUUCAAGCAAUUCUCGUGCCUCAGCCUCCCGAGUAGCUGGGAUUACAGGUGCCUAUCACCACGCCCAGCUAAUUUUUUUGCAUGUUUAGUAGAGACAGGGUUUCACCAUAUUGGCCAGGCUGGUCUCGAACUCCUGACCUCAAGUGAUCUGCCUGCCUCAAACCUCCCAAAGCACUGGGAUUACAGGUGUGAGCCACCACGCCUGGCCUGGUAUGGACUUUAUAUAUAUAUACACACACACACACACACACACACACACACAUAUUAUGGAUAAAGAUACUUUUUUCCACUCUAAUCUGUCCCAUAAGUUGUUUCCCCACAUGAGUACGUACAGAAUUAUCUCAUUCACUGAACAAUGGCAACGGGCUCCUUUGUGUGAAUUGAACACGCUUUGUUUAGCGGGUCCCUGGUCAUUUGGGUUGUUUUCUUCUUUCUAGUGAGGAGAUUCCUUUCAUGAACCUUGUGGUCUGGAGUAAAAGAAGAGACCUACAUUCCUCUCUUAAGGCAAUGAGAGACGUUUAUGUCACUGGCUGCUGCCUCACUUUAGCAUAAAAGCAAAGUCCUCGCUGUGACCCACACAGCCCUUAGUGAUCUGGCCCCUGUCCCCUCUCAGCCUGCAUCUCUUUCCUCUCCUUUGGCCUCCCUGGUGCUCCUGGAACCUGCCAAGGACGUUUCUACUUCAGGGACUUUGCAUGUACUGUCCUCUCUGCCUGGAACUCUUUUCCCCCAUCUACAUGGCUUUCUGCCUCCCUUGGUCCUAUCUCUGCUCAGAUGUCAUCCUGGAAUGGAGUCUCCUGACCUCCUUGCCUCCACUUUAUAUGACUGUGAGGCUCUCUUGUUCCGAAUCCCAUCUCACCUACCCUCCUAUAUUUUUCGUCAUAACAUUUACCUCUAACCUAUUGUCUGCUUUAUUUUAUUUUAUUUUUUGAGACAGCAUCUCGCUCUGUCACCCAGGCUGGAAUGCAGUGGCAUAGUCAUGGCUCACUGCAGCCUUGACUUCUCAGGCUCAAUCAAUCCACCUGCCUCAGCCUUCAUGUAGCUAAGACUACAAGAGGACACCACCACGCCCAGAUAAUUUCUGUAUUUUUUGUAGAGACAAGGUUUCGCCUUGUUACCUAGGCUGGUCUUGAACUCCUGGGCUCAAGCCAUCUACCCACCUCAGCCUCACAAAGUGCUGGGAUUACAGGUGUGAGCCACCAUGCCCGGCUCUAACUACUUGUUUAUGGACAUAUUUUGCUGCCUUGCUGAAUGUCAAUUCCAUAAAGAUAAGGAUUCGUGUCUAGUUUGAUCAGUGCUAUACAUCCAGUGUCUAGCAUAUGGUUGCAGCUCCAUCUGUGUUUAAAGAUGAAAUUUGCAGCGAGGAGUGGUGGUUUAACCCUAUAAUCCCAGCACUUUGGGAGGCUGAGGCAGGAGACUGACUUGAGCCCAGAAGUUUGAGACCAGACUGAGCAACAUAGACCCCAUCUCUAGAAAAAAAAUUUAAAGUUAGCCAGGCAUGGUGUCACAUGCCUGUGGAGCCAGCUACUCAGGAGGCUGAGGUGGGAGGAUUGCUUGAGCACAGGAGGUUGAGGCUGCAAUGAGCUGUUGCACCACUGUACUCCAGCCUGCGUGACAGAGAGAGACCCUAUCUCAAAAUUAAGUAAGUAAAUGAAUAAAUUUGGGAGCCUUUUGCAGGAGACAAGGGGGAGGAUUAUUGCAAUAGUACAGAAAGAGCACACACUAUGGACCAGGCAUUGUGCUAAAUCCUAUCUAGAUUAAAGUACUAUUAUUAUCCUCAUUUUACAGAUGGGUUCUACACCUUGCCUGUGGUCACAGAGCUACUAGUGACAGAGCCUGGACUCAAAACCAGGCAGCUUAGCCACUGUAUGAGAGGGAGAUAGAUGGCAGCCCCAGGCCAAGGCCCUGUAGGACAAUGAUAUGACUUUGUACUUGGCUUUCAACUCUGCCCUGUCCAGGAAAUGGCUCUCUGUUAGCCCCAAACCAUCUUCAAAGGGCCAUUACACAGCCUUGUGCUGGGGGACUCUGGGGAAAAGAAAGACGGGGUGGUGGUAAGAGCUACUGUUAAGCGUAGGAGGUGAAGUGUGGGUGCAGGGGGAAUUUGCUUCCGGAAGGGUAAAUUAUUAAGGACUGCAAAAAUAAAGGAUGAAGCUAAAAGGGCUUGGGGAGAAUGAGAUAUUCGGCAAACACUGAUUAAGCACUAUCUGUAUGCCAGGGACCAUUGGCUCGGCCUCUUUGUUGACCUUGUGCCUUGAGUCCCUUACUUAUGAGUCCCUUCCCUUCCCUAUCCCUCUACCCCAGAGGGCCCAAAGAUGGCCCCAGAGAGGGGUUUCAGUUCCACCAAUGCUUCCAAGGCUCAGAGCUAAAUUAAAGAAUAUUCUGGGCAGAAAAUACAGAUUAUUUUAAAAGAAAGAUUAUUAAUCUGGAUUGAGGCGGGUCAGAAGAGACUGAAAAAAGAUGAGUCUUCAUGGGGUUAGGGGCCAGAGAGCAGGGUUGUCAGCGUGGGGUUAGGGGCCAGAGAGCAGGGUUGUCAGACACUUGGCAGAGAGCUGUUGGAGCAGGCCAGCGGUGAGAUCAUUCGCGUGUCUUAGGUCCGGAUGGGCUGGAGCGCCAGGAUAGACCAGAAGUACAUGUAAUUCAGAUAGGACAAGAAGCCUUGUGGAGAGGAAGAGGGCACAGGAGAUGAGACACAGAGUUCACCCACCCAAUCCCAAUCACAGUCCUGUCCCCAGGCCCAAUUGCAUGCCCUGCUCUGCAUCAAACCCCAUCCCCAAACCUAUUCUUAAACCCAUCACCAAUUCCAUUCCAUACCCUAACCUAUUCCCAAACCCAUCUCCAAACCGAAACUCACCUUCAUCCCCUACACUGUCCCUAACCCAUACGCAAACUCCAACCCAGUCCCAUCCCCAUUAUCCAGCCCCAUGUGCAUCCCCAAUCCCGCCUCCCACUUCAGUCACUUCCUAUCUAGCCCUGUCCACAACCCCACCCCGUCCCAAAUGCUAUCCCAAAUGCUAUUCCUGUCUGCAUCCCUGAACCCAUACCCAAAGCCAACCUCAUCCUCUCCCAUACCAGUCAUCAGGAAGAGGAAGACACUGGCCCAGGUCAGGUAGAAGCUGAGUGCCAGCUGGUAGGUCAUGCCUUCCUGCAGGUACCUGUGGGCCUGCAGCAGGUAGAACAGGAUACCCAGUACGAUGCUGGUUCCUGCAUGAGCACAGGUGUUAGGAGGCUGAGAAUCAGAUAUGUAAGGACUCCUUCCCAUAGUCAUGUGGCUGCCUGGCUCUGGCUCAUUAUUUCCCCACUUUCUUUAACCUCCCAGACCCUGUACCUUUGCUCCUAAGCAUGAAGAUGGGCUUCUGACCAAGUCCUGCUAGAGGACACUGAAAGGGCAAGCCUUGGGCUUUAACCAGGCAAUGGUAAGUCUGUAACCACAGGUUUUGAGGCCAACAGCAGGGAUCUUCCCUGCCUCCACCUCUGGACUUAGGGCAGCCAUGCCAUAUCUCUGAGCCUCAGUUUCCUCAUCUGUAGAGUGGGCACAAUCAUAGGACCCAUCUCCUUGGGCCGU